ACUCCUACGGGAGGCAGCAGUGGAGAAUCUUGUCCAAUGGGCGAAAGCCUGAGACAGCCACGCCGCGUGCGGGAAGAAGGCCUUCGGGUCGUAAACCGCUUUCAGGAGGGAAGAAGCGCAAGUGACGGUACCUCCAGAAGAAGGACCGGCCAACUACGUGCCAGCAGCCGCGGUAAUACGUAGGGUCCGAGCGUUGUCCGGAAUCAUUGGGCGUAAAGGGCAUGUAGGCGGCCAGGUAAGUCGGAUGUGAAAUCCCGAGGCUCAACUUCGGAACUGCAUCCGGUACUGCCUGGCUUGAGGAAGGUAGAGGAGAGUGGAAUUCCCGGUGUAGCGGUGGAAUGCGCAGAUAUCGGGAGGAACACCAGCGGCGAAGGCGGCUCUCUGGGCCUUUCCUGACGCUGAGAUGCGAAAGUGUGGGUAGCGAACAGGAUUAGAAACCCCUGUAGUCC
rnacentral:rRNA from 1 species